rnacentral:rRNA from 1 species
AGAUACCCUGGUAGUCCACGCCGUAAACGAUGCUAACUCGUUUUUGGGUUUUCGGAUUCAGAGACUAAGCGAAAGUGAUAAGUUAGCCACCUGGGGAGUACGUUCGCAAGAAUGAAACUCAAAGGAAUUGACGGGGGCCCGCACAAGCGGUGGAUUAUGUGGUUUAAUUCGAUGAUACGCGAGGAACCUUACCAAGGCUUAAAUGGGAAUUGAUCGGUUUAGAAAUAGACCUUCCUUCGGGCAAUUUUCAAGGUGCUGCAUGGUUGUCGUCAGCUCGUGCCGUGAGGUGUUAGGUUAAGUCCUGCAACGAGCGCAACCCCUGUUACUAGUUGCUACCAUUAAGUUGAGGACUCUAGUAAGACUGCCUACGCAAGUAGAGAGGAAGGUGGGGAUGACGUCAAAUCAUCACGGCCCUUACGCCUUGGGCCACACACGUAAUACAAUGGCAGGUACAGAGGGCAGCUACACAGCGAUGUGAUGCGAAUCUCGAAAGCCUGUCUCAGUUCGGAUUGGAGUCUGCAACUCGACUCUAUGAAGCUGGAAUCGCUAGUAAUCGCGCAUCAGCCAUGGCGCGGUGAAUACGUUCCCGGGCCUUGUACACACCGCCCGUCAAGCCAUGGAAGUCUGGGGUACCUGAAGUCGGUGACCGUAAAAGGAGCUGCCUAGGGUAAAACAGGUAACUAGGGCUAAGUCGUAAC